CCCCCGAUGGUCUAGUUGGAUAUGGCAUCUGACUGUGAAUCAGAGGGUCGCUGGCUUUCCAGCUCGGGGACGA
rnacentral:tRNA from 2 species